rnacentral:rRNA from 1 species
GAUCCUGGCUCAGAUUGAACGCUGGCGGCAUGCUUUACACAUGCAAGUCGAGCGGCAGCGCGGGGGCAACCCUGGCGGCGAGCGGCGAACGGGUGAGGAAACCAUCGGAACGUGCCCGAGAGUGGGGGAUAACGCCGCGAAAGCGGCGCUAAUACCGCAUAUUCUCUGAGGAGGAAAGUGGGGGACCGCAAGGCCUCACGCUCCCGGAGCGGCCGAUGUCGGAUUAGCUAGUUGGUGGGGUAAAGGCUUACCAAGGCGACGAUCCGUAGCUGGUCUGAGAGGAUGAUCAGCCACACUGGAACUGAGACACGGUCCAGGACUCCUACGGGAGGCAGCAGUGGGGAAUAUUGGACAAUGGGCGCAAGCCUGAUCCAGGCCACGCCGCGUGAGUGAUGAAGGCCUUCGGGUCGUAAAGCUCUGUGGGGAGAGACGAACCGCUGGGGUAACCCUUCAGCAUGACGGUAUCUCCUUAGCAAGCACCGGCUAACUUCGGUG